rnacentral:misc_RNA from 1 species
CGCACAUUGCGCCCUUUGGUAUUCCGAGGGGCAUGCCUGUUCGAGCGUCAUUUCCACCCUCAGGCCCUGUUAGCCUGGCGUUGGGGCUUCUGUAGGCCAGUCCCUGCAGGCCCUCAAGACCAGUGGCGGGCUCGCCUGUAACCCCGAGCGCAGUAGUUUCUCCUCGCUCAGCGGGCUCCAGGCGGGUUUGGCCGUUAAACCCCCUAAUUUUUUAAAAGGUUGACCUCGGAUCAGGUAGGGAUACCCGCUGAACUUAA